AACGAGGCCGACCUGCGGCUGAGUUACCUGCGGAAGGAUCAUUACAGAGUUCAUGCCCUCACGGGUAGAUCUCCCACCCUUGAAUACUAUACCUUUGUUGCUUUGGCGGGCCGCUUUGGCUACUGGCUCUGGCUAGUAAGUGCCCGCCAAAGAACCCCAAAACUCUGAAUAUUAGUGUCGUCUGAGUACUAUAUAAUAGUUAAAACUUUUAGCAACGGAUCUCAGAUCGGAAGAGCACAC
rnacentral:misc_RNA from 1 species